GCGGCGGACGGGUGAGUAACACGUGGGCAACCUGCCUGUAAGACUGGGAUAACUUCGGGAAACCGGAGCUAAUACCGGAUAAUGCACAGCCUCUCAUGAGGCUAUGCUGAAAGAUGGUUUCGGCUAUCACUUACAGAUGGGCCCGCGGCGCAUUAGCUAGUUGGUGAGGUAACGGCUCACCAAGGCAACGAUGCGUAGCCGACCUGAGAGGGUGAUCGGCCACACUGGGACUGAGACACGGCCCAGACUCCUACGGGAGGCAGCAGUAGGGAAUCUUCCGCAAUGGACGAAAGUCUGACGGAGCAACGCCGCGUGAGUGAUGAAGGUUUUCGGAUCGUAAAACUCUGUUGUCAGGGAAGAACAAGUGCCGGAGUAACUGCCGGCACCUUGACGGUACCUGACCAGAAAGCCACGGCUAACUACGUGCCAGCAGCCGCGGUAAUACGUAGGUGGCAAGCGUUGUCCGGAAUUAUUGGGCGUAAAGCGCGCGCAGGCGGUCUCUUAAGUCUGAUGUGA
rnacentral:rRNA from 1 species